rnacentral:tRNA from 1 species
GAGGGUAUAGCUCAGUGGUAGGGUGCUUGCCUAGCAUGCAGGAAGUCCUGGGUUCAAUCCCCAGUACCUCCA